CUGGCGUUGGCCGGAGUGAGUUAAGGCGUUGGACUUAAGUUCCAAUGGACAAGUGUCCGCCGUGGGGUUCGAACCCCACACCCCAGU
rnacentral:tRNA from 1 species